ACUUCUCCUUCCAGCGCGCCGGCGCUGCCCGGCCGCGCGGCUCCCCGGGGCGUGCGCCGCGGCCCUCCCCAGACUGCAGAUGUUUCUACCGAGUCCUUACAGACAGGAAGGUAUUUUAUCUCACUCCUGCACGCACUAGUUUACGUCCACCUAAGGGCGCGCUCUCAGCGCUGGGCGAGGUGCUGCUCUUGGCCAGCUGGUGAAAGUCCUGCGUAACAGCCGCCGAAGUGGAGAGAGCUAUGUCCUGUUUUUGUUUUGAGAGAGUUAAAAUCGAAAUAUUUAGCUAAGCCACUCUACCCAGAGCUUUGGAAAAGAUCUGCAUAUUUUUCAGACUGCUGGAGAUGCCACCGUAAAGCUCCAGGCGAGGAGGUCCCAGUAUCCCGCCACCGAAAGGCCUCCAUACUCCUCACGUCCUGGUUUUAAACGCCCCAAAGUCCUAGUCUUAGCAGAGCUGCACCAACACCGAACCCGCCCUAAUGUCACAUCUGAGUUGAAACAGAGAAGCCUGAAAACCGGGAAUUUAAAAAAUGGUACCGGGAAAGAGGAGUACGUUUUUAAGGUCUACACGAGGCCUCUUCCAUUUUCUGCACUGAGGAGGAGGAGAAGAACCUGCAGUUUCGCUCUCCCUAUGAGCGAGGAUACAGCAGUGCCGGCAGCUCCCCGUCCGGCUCGCUGUGCUUCCCGCCAUCCUCUGGUGCGCAAGCAAACACGAACAUCUCCUCUCCCGUUGCGCACUCCAACUGGGACAUCAUCACAGGGCUGUUCCCAGAAGCAGAUACAUGCAAUGUUUGAAAAAAGUAGGAGAAGGAAUAAACAAAUAAAUAAAAAGCACCUAGAGCCCCUUUCUUAAAUGGAAAAUUCUCAAAUAAAAUUAAAUAAACGCACUGCACAGAAGCAGAGCACGCUCCUUCAGGUAGGAAGAGUGCUCUCCAGCCUGGUGAGCAACCUGCACCUCUGCCAGCCGGAUGCUGCUCUCAAGGCAAGGGAUAUGAGGCACAUUGAUGGAGAUCCUGCAGAUGACCACAGCUAACACUAAACUGAUUAAAUAUCCCUGCAACUUGAUCAAAUUACUACAAACUUAGGUGCAAUGAAGUAUCUUCUACUGGCCAGUCUGGGCAGGGUGGCUAAUACACAUGCAACCCCCUCACCGUCCACUUUUGGCUGCUGUUGGAGACUGAGCUACGGCUGCUCCAGAGGAAGGGACAUCCCCACACAGACCUUCUGGAGAGGGGACUGAAGAUACACCUGCCUGACGGCAGGAGGACAGAGCCCCCGAGACGAGGGGACCGAGGCCCAGGGGAGCAGGGUCUUCCCACCUUUGCUGAAUUUCACUGAUGUCAGCGAUCCUGCAAGCAGCCAGAAUGGCAAUAACGGCGAAGCUUUACCACAACUGAAAAACAUUAAAAAAUACCUUUCUUUCCUAAGUGCAACCUUUUUACUAGAGAUGGCUUAAAAAGAAAAGUCAACUUUGACUCAAUAAAGAAUGUCACCAACAGGAA